AUUAGGCCAUAGGUGAGUGGCCAAAACCUGUUGCCCACCUCCAGAGAAGGCUGAGUUGAGGAACGUUUCCUCUACUAGAAAAAACUCCCUGUCCAGAGAACACUCCUGAGACUGACCCUAAAAGGUCACUAAAACAGCAAAGCUCCUCCUUCAGAACUGGGGAUUCGAUCUGGAUGCUAGAGGAUUACAACAUGGAAGGCUCCACAUACGUCCACAGCUCCUCUCCUUGAGGCUUAAAGACUGCUUACAUAUCCUUUACCCACCUUUUUAACAAAGGCAGAGUGACCAACUUUCCAGGAAGCGAAUGCCAGCAAGUGGGGCAGUCUGGGUUAUAGAUCAGAGAUGAACCUGGCAUAGUUUCCACAGGACACUCUUGUUCUGGGCAACAGGUUUCAAAGGGUUACCUGGUGGCAUGGCUGUCUUUGCUGAGAAAGCCUGAGAUUUCAGUGAGGCUUCAGCAGAGUGCAUAACAGUCUCCAAUAUUUGCUCAGCUAACCAGUGAAACCCCUACAGCUCUCCAAUGUCUUGAAAAUUAUGGUUUAGAAGAGAGAAUGCUCAGCUAGGGGAAUGUUCUGCAGCCAUGACCAAGCUGUGGUUAAAACUGAUCCCAGUGAUUUCUGUUCAGCCCAGAAACCUCAGACAGUUUCCAUUUUCUCAAUAACAAAGCAUUUUUGUGGGGUGAGGUAACAGGCCUGCAGCUGCCAGGUCUAAUUCUCCACUAGGAUUUCUUAAGAGUGUGGCCGAAUGAGCACUGGCCAGCUAAGCCAGA